rnacentral:rRNA from 1 species
CGGUUAAGCAAGAAAGAGCACAGGGCGGAUGCCUUGGCACUGAGAGCCGAAGAAAGACGUGAUAAGCUGCGAAAAGCCGCGGGGAGGAGCAAAUAUCCAGAGAGCCGCGGAUAUCUGAAUGGGGAAACCCACAUGGAGAGACUCCAUGUAUCCAUAUCUGAAUCCAUAGGGUAUGGAGGGGAACCCGGUGAACUGAAACAUCUAAGUAGCCGGAGGAAGAGAAAGAAACAUCGAUUCCGAGAGUAGCGGCGAGCGAAAUCGGAAGAGCCCAAACCAGAGCGCGAGCGUUCUGGGGUUCGGACUGCACAAGCUGCUGCAAAGGACAGCCGAAUGGCACUGGAAAGACCAGCGGGAGAGGGUGAGAGCCCCGUAGGCGAAGUCAAGAGCAGGGCGGCAGGAUCCAGAGUACCACGGGACACGAGAAACCCUGUGGGAAAGAGCGGGGACCACCCCGUAAGGCUAAAUACUACUCAGUGACCGAUAGCGUAUAGUACUGUGAAGGAAAGGUGAAAAGGACCCCGGGAGGGGAGUGAAAGAGAACCUGAAACCCUGUGUUUACAAGCUGUGGGACACUUAUAAAGGUGGACCGCGUACUUUUUGUAGAACGGUCCGGCGAGUUGCGGGGGCUGGCGAGGUUAAGCACUGAAGGUGCGGAGCCGGAGGGAAACCGAGUCUUAAUAGGGCGGUAAGUCAGGCCACGCAGACCCGAAACCGGGUGACCUACCCAUGUCCAGGAUGAAGCUGCCGUAAGAGGCAGUGGAGGUCCGAACCCACAUCCGUUGAAAAGGGUGGGGAUGAGGUGUGGGUAGGGGAGAAAUUCCAAUCGAACCCGGAGAUAGCUGGUUCUCCUCGAAAUAGCUUUAGGGCUAGCCUCAUGACAGCCAGAUGGAGGUAGAGCACUGAAUACCCUAGGGGGCGUCAAAGCCUACCGAAGGUUAUCAAACUCCGAAUGCCAUGCUGGUGAUUGAUGGGAGUCAGACUGCACGAGAUAAGUUGGGCAGUCAAAAGGGAAAGAGCCCAGACCCACGGCUAAGGUCCCAGAGUGCGUGUUAAGUGGAAAAGGAUGUGGGAUCUCGAAGACAGCUAGGAUGUUGGCUCAGAAGCAGCCACACAUUCAAAGAGUGCGUAAUAGCUCACUAGUCGAGAGGUCCUGCGCCGAAAAUGUCCGGGGCUGAAACACGCCACCGAAGCCUGGGGAUCCGUCUAUCCAUAGGGUAGAAGGAUCGGUAGAGGAGCAUGCUCAUCCUGCUGAAGCCGUACCGGAAGGAGCGGUGGAGGGAUGAGGAGAGAGAAUGCCGGAAUGAGUAGCGAGAGUAAGGUGAGAAUCCUUACGGCCGGAUAUCCAAGGAUUCCAGGGUAAAGCUGAUCUGCCCUGGGUAAGUCGGGGCCUAAGGCGAGGCUUGAGAGCGUAGCCGAUGGACAACAGGUGGAGAUUCCUGUACUGCUGUAUGACAGAACUGUGGGGACGCAUGGAGGAAGCGUGGACCGGGAGAGGAGAGACCGGUGCAAGCGGGCCAGGUGAAGGGCUGGAAAAACCGUCCUGCGGGCCGAACCCGUGACGCGGAGCGAAAGGAAGUAGCGAAGCACGUGGAGGCUGUGCCGAGAAAAGCCGCUAUCGUUCAUACAGUACCCGUACCGAAAACCGACACAGGUGGAUAGGGAGAGGAUCCCAAGGCCGGCGGGAGAAGCAUUGUCAAGGAACUCGGCAAAAUGACCCCGUAACUUCGGGAGAAGGGGUGCCACAGAGAUGUGGCCGCAGAGAAUAGGCUCAGGCAACUGUUUAGCAAAAACACAGGUCUAUGCGAAACCGGAAGGUGAGGUAUAUGGGCUGACGCCUGCCCGGUGCUGGAAGGUCAAGAGGAGGAGUCAGGAAACGAAGCUCUGAACCUAAGCCCCAGUAAACGGCGGCCGUAACUAUAACGGUCCUAAGGUAGCGAAAUUCCUUGUCGGGUAAGUUCCGACCCGCACGAAAGGCGUAAUGAUCUGAGCACUGUCUCGACAAUGCACCCGGUGAAAUUGAACUGCCAGUGAAGAUGCUGGCUACCUGCGCCAGGACGGAAAGACCCCAUGGAGCUUUACUCCAGCUUGAUACUGGGAUCCGGUGCUGUAUGUACAGGAUAGGUGGGAGGCAGUGAAGUGAGGACGCCAGUCCUCAUGGAGCCGCUGUUGGGAUACCACCCUUGCAGUACUGGGUUUCUAACCUGCGCCCGUGAACCGGGCGGGGGACAAUGUCUGGCGGGGAGUUUGACUGGGGCGGUCGCCUCCGAAAGGGUAUCGGAGGCGCUCAAAGGUUCCCUCAGAAUGGACGGAAACCAUUCGGAGAGCGCAAAGGCAGAAGGGAGCUUGACUGCGACACCGACGGGUGGAGCAGGUACGAAAGUAGGACUUAGUGAUCCGGUGGCAUGAAGUGGGACUGCCAUCGCUCAACGGAUAAAAGCUACCCUGGGGAUAACAGGCUUAUCACUCCCAAGAGUUCACAUCGACGGAGUGGUUUGGCACCUCGAUGUCGGCUCAUCGCAUCCUGGGGCUGUAGCAGGUCCCAAGGGUUGGGCUGUUCGCCCAUUAAAGCGGUACGCGAGCUGGGUUCAGAACGUCGUGAGACAGUUCGGUCCCUAUCCGGCGCAGGCGCAGGAUAUCUGAGAGGAGCUGUCCUUAGUACGAGAGGACCGGGAUGGACGGACCGCUGGUGUACCUGUUGGCAACCGAUGCCAUGGCAGGGUAGCCAAGUCCGGCAGGGAUAAACGCUGAAGGCAUCUAAGCGUGAAGCCCCCCUCAAGAUGAGAUAUCCCAUGGAGAGAUCCAUAAGACCCCUUGGAGAGUACGAGGUAGAUAGGCAUAAGGUGUAAGUGCAGCAAUGUAUUGAGCUGAUAUGUACUAAUCGGUCGAGGGCUUAACCAUGA